rnacentral:lncRNA from 1 species
UUUGAUAAAAAGACUAGUCAUUAGGGGUAUUCCAAUAAAUACUCUUUUGUGCAUCCGGGCCAAAAGAUUGUUCUUGUAGCAUUGAGUCCUAGUGAGGUGAGAGAAGAUAAAAAAAAUGAAAGAAAAAAAUGAGCAAGAAAAAAAAUAAAAAGAAAAGAAUGAAAAAGAAAAAGAAAAAGAAAAGAAGGAAAAAGAAAAUAAAAAGAGUGGCAGAAAAAAGAAUGAUGAAAAGAAUGGGAGUUUGAUUGCAAAAAAA